UGACCUUGGAACCGCAAACCUCGUAGCAGGAACCGGCGGCGAGGGAACCCGCGACGGUGCUGGUCCAGGCAUCCUCAUCGUUGAAGAACUUGGUGGAGGUGGAGCAGGAGGCGGGCUUCGAGUAGUGGAACUCGGCGGGACCGGAGGCGGUGCCGACGAUGUACGCGGGCGCGCGCUUCUUGGCGAGGUAGCCCUUGGACAUCCAGUUGGACUCGUAGUUCUUGUGGACGUUGGAGCAGUCCGUGGUGGAGGUGCAGACCUCUGCGGAGAUCAACUUCAUGGCGUCGGUGGAGUAGCUCUUGCCGCACUGGCCCGCGCACCAGUUCUCGGAAAUGUAUCCGGCAACCUUCUUGUCGUAGUUGGCGACGCCCUUGGAGUACGGGGAGAUGUACGGCUUGAGGAACUCAGUCUUCUUGCACUUGUCACCCUCGCAGGGCUUCUGGUCCUUGGCCAUUUCGUAGGUCAUCUUCUCGAGGAAGGGGUAGAUCCAGUUGAGGGGGAGGAAGAUGAGGACGUUGAGCAUAUUGAAAAUGUCGUGCACGGUGGCGGCGGCGAAGCCGCGGCGGAGGUCAUCCUGGUUCGCGAAGUGGCCCAUGGCGACGAUGGUGUUGGUGACGGAAGUACCGAUGUUGGCACCCAUGAUCAUGAAGAUGGCGAUGUUGACGGAGAGCUCAUCGGCACCAACCAUGGAGACA
rnacentral:lncRNA from 1 species